GAUGAACGCUGGCGGCGUGCCUAGUACAUGCAAGUCGAGCGAACAGACGAGAAGCUUGCUUCUCUGAUGUUAGCGGCGGACGGGUGAGUAACACGUGGGUAACCUACCUAUAAGACUGGGAUAACUCCGGGAAACCGGGGCUAAUACCGGAUAAUAUUUUGAACCGCAUGGUUCAAUAGUGAAAGACGGUUUUGGCUGUCACUUAUAGAUUGACCCGCGCCGCAUUAGCUAGUUGGUAAGGUAACGGCUUACCAAGGCGACGCUACGUAGCCGGCCUGAGAGGGUGGUCGGCCACGAUGGAACUGAGACACGGUCCAGACUCCUACGGGAGGCAGCAGUAGGGAGUCUUCCGCAAUGGGCGAAAGCCUGACGGGGCAACGCCGCGUGAGUGAUGAAGGUCUUCGGAUCGUAAAACUCUGUUGUUAGGGAAGAACAAAUUUGUUAGUAACUGAACAAGUCUUGACGGUACCUAACCAGAAAGCCACGGCUAACUACGUGCCAGCCGCCGCCGUAAGAC
rnacentral:rRNA from 1 species